GACGAACGCUGGCGGCAUGCCUAACACAUGCAAGUCGAGCUAGCAGAUCCUUUCGGGGUGAAGCUAGCGGCGGACGGGUGAGUAACACGUGGGCAACCUGCCUCAUAGAGGGGAAUAGCCUCCCGAAAGGGAGAUUAAUACCGCAUAAGAUUGCAUCUUCGCAUGAAGAAGUAAUUAAAGGAGCAAUCCGCUAUGAGACGGGCCCGCGGCGCAUUAGCUAGUUGGUGAGGUAACGGCUCACCAAGGCGACGAUGCGUAGCCGACCUGAGAGGGUGAUCGGCCACAUUGGGACUGAGACACGGCCCAGACUCCUACGGGAGGCAGCAGUGGGGAAUAUUGCACAAUGGGGGAAACCCUGAUGCAGCAAUGCCGCGUGAGUGAUGACGGCCUUCGGGUUGUAAAGCUCUGUCUUCGGGGACGAUAAUGACGGUACCCGAGGAGGAAGCCACGGCUAACUACGUGCCAGCAGCCGCCGUAA
rnacentral:rRNA from 1 species